CUCUAGUAACUUGGAGGCAUGCCUGUCUGAGCGUCAUUGAAAACCAUAAACCCGACUGGGUUUGUACUGGGCGUCGUCCCCGGACGUAGCCUCAAAGUCAUCGGUCUUAUACGCGGACGAGCUCCAUUAGGACAGACCGUGUGUCGACUUUAAAUCUCUGACUUGACCUCAGAUCAGGUAGGACUACCGCCUGAACUUAA
rnacentral:misc_RNA from 1 species